GGGGCCUUAGCUCAGCUGGGAGAGCACUCGCUUUGCAAGCGAGAUGUCGCCGGUUCGAGUCCGGCAGGCUCCACCA
rnacentral:tRNA from 1 species